CUCUCCCAUAGCGGCCCCAAGGUUUGAGCAUUUCCGUAGAAGAACUGAUUGUGUCCAGUAUGGAAGCGUUUAGAUUAACGAUCCAUCAGGGUGCCAUGCCAGACCAUUACAGAAUUAUUUAAAGCAGCCACUUAGAGUUGCUCCAUGAUGCAAGGAAAUGUUAGAACUGACACCGAGAAGAACAGCAAAGAAUGAUCCUGUCUGCAAGGAAUGAUCCUGUGUGCACUGUGUUAUUUACUGUUAGCAGGAUGGCAAAUAUUGUUACUGCCUGUCUGCUCGGACAUUUAUUUAUUCAGGGAUCCUUUAUUUCGCAAAAUCUCUAGGAAGCGAAGAGGGAUUUCCAAAAGCAAGAUUUGCCUUGGCAUAUGUGAGCAAGAAUCCGAUGCUCAAAUUUCCAUCCCUUAAAACAGAUGAAGGGCCAAGGCCUUUGCUGUUGCAAGGCCAAGCUCUCAGAAAUGAAACCACACUGCCAAAAUCAUGGGUUAGCAAAUUAACAACAUGUUUUUACUUGUUUUUCUUGUUCUCCGAGCUUUGAGAUCUUGCCAGCAUUAAGCUGCACAAUUAGAAGGACUGGCAGGCAGCUUCUUUAAACGGGAGUUGAGUUUCUGACCCUUGCCGGGAACAAAACUUCUACCACGACCAUCAGGCACUUGAAUAAGCGACCCUGAAAAAUCACAACCUGCAAGCCUCUUAGCUAAUUCCUUAGUUGAAGACACCGACCUAGAAGAACCGAGAUGCUGGUGGAGAGGCGGAUUCCACCACACAAAACACGAGCAUGAAGAAAAAUGACGGACAGCGGGGAUCACAGACUUCCAUGUCUUUAUUUGCCAUUGAAGAUCCUUUUAUUCCAUCGAUGCAAAUAUGCAGAACAGCAGGAAACCAUGUUUUAAGCAGCACAUACCAGUUGGCUGAGAAUAAACUAGCUACAUUCCUCAAGCAAUGUAAAAGUAACAAUGCACAGCAUCUUCCCGGAGAAGAGACGGACAGGUAUUGCAGCCGAGAGGCACAGCAGGCAGCUUCCGUACAAAGGAGUUUGGCUAUUUAAAAUGCUAGAACCCGCCCUCGUCCGCAUCUCCAAACCCCAACCCCUGUCCCCAAAAGUCCUACUAUAAUUUAAACACUUUUUUUUUCUU